GAUGAACGCUGGCGGCGUGCCUAAUACAUGCAAGUCGAGCGAAUGGAUUAAGAGCUUGCUCUAAUGAAGUUAGCGGCGGACGGGUGAGUAACACGUGGGUAACCUGCCCAUAAGACUGGGAUAACUCCGGGAAACCGGGGCUAAUACCGGAUAACAUUUUGAACCGCAUGGUUCGAAAUUGAAAGGCGGCUUCGGCUGUCACUUAUGGAUGGACCCGCGUCGCAUUAGCUAGUUGGUGAGGUAACGGCUCACCAAGGCAACGAUGCGUAGCCGACCUGAGAGGGUGAUCGGCCACACUGGGACUGAGACCCGGCCCAGACUCCUACGGGAGGCAGCAGUAGGGAAUCUUCCGCAAUGGACGAAAGUCUGACGGAGCAACGCCGCGUGAGUGAUGAAGGCUUUCGGGUCGUAAAACUCUGUUGUUAGGGAAAAACAAGUGCUAGUUGAAUAAGCUGGCACCUUGACGGUACCUAACCAGAAAGCCACGGCUAACUACGUGCCAGCAGCCGCCGUAA
rnacentral:rRNA from 1 species